rnacentral:snoRNA from 1 species
UCGCACAGUGAGCACCUGAGUGUGCUUUGUCGUUCCCUUGGCCUUGACACUGUGCUAGAGCAAUGUCUGGUCAUUUCCUCUGCAUUGAAAGGCACGUUCAUCCAUGAGUGAGAAGUGACUUAG